UAGGGAAUAUUGGUAAUGUGCGAAAGCGCGAACCAGCAACGCCGCCUGUGCGAUGAAGGCCUUCGGGUUGUAAAGCACUUUUUGAGGGGAUGAGGAAGGACAGUACCCUCAGAAUAAGCCUCGGCUAACUACGUGCCAGCAGCCGCGGUAAAACGUAGGAGGCGAGCGUUAUCCGGAUUUACUGGGCGUAAAGCGUGUGUAGGCGGUUUGAUAAGUUGGAUGUGAAAGCUCCUGGCUUAACUGGGAGAGGUCGUUCAAAACUAUCAGACUUGAGAGUGGUAGAGGGAGGUGGAAUUCCGGGUGUGGUGGUGAAAUGCGUAGAUAUCCGGAGGAACACCAGUGGCGAAAGCGGCCUCCUGGCCCAUUUCUGACGCUCAGACGCGAAAGCUAGGGUAGCAAACGG
rnacentral:rRNA from 1 species